rnacentral:tRNA from 1 species
GAUUUUGUCCUCAGUGGUAGAGGCUCAGCUUUGCAUGCGGAAGAUUCUGGGUUCAAUCCCUGGUUUCUCCA